rnacentral:rRNA from 1 species
AGCGAGCGCUGGCGGCAGGCCUAACACAUGCAAGUCGAACGAACUCUUCGGAGUUAGUGGCGGACGGGUGAGUAACACGUGGGAACGUGCCUUUUGGUUCGGAAUAACUCAGGGAAACUUGUGCUAAUACCGAAUGUGCCCUUCGGGGGAAAGAUUUAUCGCCAUUAGAGCGGCCCGCGUCUGAUUAGCUAGUUGGUGAGGUAACGGCUCACCAAGGCGACGAUCAGUAGCUGGUCUGAGAGGAUGACCAGCCACACUGGGACUGAGACACGGCCCAGACUCCUACGGGAGGCAGCAGUGGGGAAUCUUGCGCAAUGGGCGAAAGCCUGACGCAGCCAUGCCGCGUGAAUGAUGAAGGUCUUAGGAUUGUAAAAUUCUCUCACCGGGGACGAUAAUGACGGUACCCGGAGAAGAAGCCCCGGCUAACUUCGUG